rnacentral:rRNA from 2 species
AUUGAACGCUGGCGGCAUGCCUUACACAUGCAAGUCGAACGGCAGCACGGGGGCAACCCUGGUGGCGAGUGGCGAACGGGUGAGUAAUACAUCGGAACGUGUCCUGUAGUGGGGGAUGGCCCGGCGAAAGCCGGAUUAAUACCGCAUACGAUCUACGGAAGAAAGCGGGGGACCGAAAGGCCUCGCGCUAUAGGGGCGGCCGAUGGCAGAUUAGCUAGUUGGUGGGGUAAAGGCCUACCAAGGCGACGAUCUGUAGCUGGUCUGAGAGGACGACCAGCCACACUGGGACUGAGACACGGCCCAGACUCCUACGGGAGGCAGCAGUGGGGAAUUUUGGACAAUGGGGGAAACCCUGAUCCAGCAAUGCCGCGUGUGUGAAGAAGGCCUUCGGGUUGUAAAGCACUUUUGUCCGGAAAGAAAACUUCUGCCCUAAUACGGCGGGAGGAUGACGGUACCGGAAGAAUAAGCACCGGCUAACUACGUGCCAGCAGCCGCGGUAAUACGUAGGGUGCGAGCGUUAAUCGGAAUUACUGGGCGUAAAGCGUGCGCAGGCGGUUCGUUAAGACAGAUGUGAAAUCCCCGGGCUUAACCUGGGAACUGCAUUUGUGACUGGCGAGCUAGAGUAUGGCAGAGGGGGGUAGAAUUCCACGUGUAGCAGUGAAAUGCGUAAAGAUGUGGAGGAAUACCGAUGGCGAAGGCAGCCCCCUGGGCCAAUACUGACGCUCAUGCACGAAAGCGUGGGGAGCAAACAGGAAUAGAUACCCUGGUAGUCCCACCGCCUAAACGAUGUCAACUAGUUGUUGGGGAUUCAUUUCCUUAGUAACGUAGCUAACGCGUGAAGUUGACCGCCUGGGGAGUACGGUCGCAAGAUUAAAACUCAAAGGAAUUGACGGGGACCCGCACAAGCGGUGGAUGAUGUGGAUUAAUUCGAUGCAACGCGAAAAACCUUACCUACCCUUGACAUGGUCGGAACCCUGCUGAAAGGUGGGGGUGCUCGAAAGAGAACCGAUACACAGGUGCUGCAUGGCUGUCGUCAGCUCGUGUCGUGAGAUGUUGGGUUAAGUCCCGCAACGAGCGCAACCCUUGUCCUUAGUUGCUACGCAAGAGCACUCUAAGGAGACUGCCGGUGACAAACCGGAGGAAGGUGGGGAUGACGUCAAGUCCUCAUGGCCCUUAUGGGUAGGGCUUCACACGUCAUACAAUGGUCGGAACAGAGGGCUGCCAACCCGUGAGGGGGAGCUAAUCCCAGAAAACCGAUCGUAGUCCGGAUCGUAGUCUGCAACUCGACUACGUGAAGCUGGAAUCGCUAGUAAUCGCGGAUCAGCAUGCCGCGGUGAAUACGUUCCCGGGUCUUGUACACACCGCCCGUCACACCAUGGGAGUGGGUUUUACCAGAAGUGGCUAGUCUAACCGCAAGGAGGACGGUCACCACGGUAGGAUUCAUGACUGGGGUG